CAGGAGGCCAACUCCCAUUCCAGUGCUGCCCCCAUGACCUGCCGGUUCUACAAAGAGCUGGACACAAUACUUGGGGAUGACUCCACCUCCAUUGCAAAGACCACCAUGGGCACUUCAGAGGCAGCCCAGAGUGCAAUGAGCCAGGAGGAGGAAAGUGGGAGCAAGGGUACUGAGAAGGAGGAGGGCCCAGAGCCAGAGGACGAUUCACCACCCAUAGAUGCAUGAAGCCAGGAGCUGUUUUCAAGCCUGGAGGAAGGUAGCCAGUCACAGAAGAUGGAGCUUGGGGAAGAGCAAACAGCAGAGGAGGUGCCCAAUACAACCUUGAGAUCCAAGCCAUCCUUGUUAUCAACGGCUGAAGGCCGAAUGGCUGUGCAGACUCAGGAAGUGGCCAUGAAGAAGCAAGAAGUACCUUCUGCAUGAAGUUAUGCAGCAGUCCCUUGCUGAAAAUCAAAAAGUGCAGGAGUGGUGGGAGAGUGAGAGGAGAACAUGGAUCACCGGAAAGAAACUGUGGAGAAGCUCCUAAGCAUUAUGGAGCGCCGAGUGGACUCGAUGCAGGUGCUAGUAACACUGCAUUUGGAGCAGAUCCAUGCCCACCCCCACCCCCAUGCAGCUCUUGUCCCAAAACUCUUUCCCUUGCACCCCUACGUCACCACGAACACAGUUUGCCCAACAUCCUGUUUCUUGUCACCACCAGCUGCCUACAAAACCUGCGCCUUCACCAUCCAGCCCUGCAAACUCCAACCAUUACCCACUUCAUUCAACCCCCAUCUCCAUGCAGUUUAGCCUGGAUGAAGUGCAGCACCCGUUGCACGGCACUGCAGAUGGAAAGGCUGCAUAAGCCACCUGGACUUAUGCCAAUCUGUAAUGGUGCUGGGCCCCCACCAAAACCUCCCUCCACUCUUCCGCCACACUGUGCAGUUGUGUGAUCCCAUUUGUGUCUCUGCAACUUGUCUUUUGUAAAUUUUAAUAAAUGAAUUUUGGUUUUGG